GUGCUAGGAUUACAGGCGUGAGCCACCGCGCCCGGCCUCAGGUAGUCUUAAUAGAGAAAAUAGAAACCUGUGUAGCUAAGAGCCUUUGGGCUGCCAGUGUGCAUCUUGUCACGUAUGAGUUGCUGAGGCCAAGCAGAUCAGAAAGGCGCCUUGUUUAUAACAGGUAGGGGUUCUCUACUUGCGAAGCAUUAACUGUGGUUGGAAACAAAAACUCUUCCUUUGUAUUGCUUGUCUGUGUCAAAGCCAGGAAACGGGGGCUCUUCUACAAAUAGCAAGGGGGACAAAAGCACUGACUUUAAAAAAGCUGUGGUUAAGAUGCAAAAGGUUAAUUUUCCAUGCUUUUCGCUGGAGAGUUGCAGAAGACUUUAAAGAUCAUUUGGUCUAACUUCCUUGUCCCCAAGACAAAGAACUGAGGGGUAGAAAUUGCCUGAGGUUCCAUAGCUGUGAGCACCUGGAAUCCUGAUGUUCAGUGCAGUGUUCUGUCCCCCUUACCAGUCCUCUGUCCCUCCGUAAGGGCAGCACCCAGGGUCCCGUCAGUGCAGAAUAUCGUGGGGGCUACAUGCAUUUCGUUUUACAUAUAGAGAGAUGGGGUUUCCUUGUGUUGCCCAGGCUGGACUCCAGCUCCUGGGCUCAAGGGAUCCUCCAGCCUUAGCCUCCCACGUGGCUGGGGUUACAAGCGUGCACCACAGUGCCCGGCUGUGCAUUUUUUUUUUUUUUUUUUUGAUCGAAGACCCUGAAUGUGUGCCUAUUUUUAUCUGUGUCACUUUCACUUGUCUUUUUCCUUCCAUCCUUUCAGUGGUAGCAGGUGCCCUUGAUAAUCACUGGACCCUCAGCUGAAAGAGCUGAGGAGGCAGGAGCUAAGAUGCAGCUCAGUUCAUCAAAGCCCACCAGGCCCCCUCAGCUGCCUUUUCAUGCCUGCCACACGGAUGACCAUGGAAUCAAAGUCCAAAUCUGCUUCCCCUGGCCUGAUCUUACUUGGCAGUUGAGACCUAAGAAAGCCUCCUAUGGUACUUUAUCUCCUGUGGCACUUACCACUUUCUAUCUGGUAUUAUUUUUAUCCAAUUUAGCAUUCCUUUUAGAUUGUACGCUCCUGGAGGGCAGAGUACCCGUACUGAUAUUUGUGUCUUCUUCCUUCUCAGGGCACCUAACAUAGCCUUGCACACAGAAACAAUAAACCAUUGUUGAAUGAACAGGUCAAUCAGAUUGUGUUGUUCUAUUGCUUUUUCAGGAAGAAGUCCAGCUGGUAGCCUUUAAGUCAGAGAAGCAGCAAUGGAGCAACAGAAUCAAAGCCACCCUUGUGUUCAAGGCAGUCACCUGAUGAGAUAUUCUGAGACACGCUAAGCUAAGAGAGGUUAAUGACUAUAGUUGGUCCACUUGUGACUGGUGAAAUUAGCUUUGCUCACAAGUAGUAUUUUGUGAGUAGUGGUUGUGCUGAAAAGUAUCACGUACCAGGUGUAAUUGGUUGUCUCAAAAAAUCUAAAGAAACCUGUUCUAAUAUAUAGAAACAGCAAGACAGAGAAGGUAAGUUUGAAACUCUAUGCUUAUCACCUAGAUCUCUGCCACUCGAUUUUAUGUAUUUUAAAUCAAAUCCUCAGGGUGAUCAUUCUGCACUGCAGUAAUCGUGAUGAUCAUCGGUCUGGACGUGUUAAAGAGAUUGUCAACCGAGCUAAUGUGGGCACUGAGCUCUAGUUGCUCUUUAGAUUUAAGUUCCUAGGUAAAGGCUGCUUUUAUUUCAAUCGCUCCCCUCUGAGGCUUGGCGGGGCAGAAUGAGUGGGUGGGUGGUCAGAAUCGGCAAGCCGAGAGCUCAGAGGUUGGACUGUGGCUUCGUCUGCUGUGUGUUUGGUUUGCUGCAUCCAUCAAGGAGCAAUCUUGGUUUCAUCUCCAUCAGUUCCCAUUAAACAGAAGCACUAGUCAACAUGUCAGUGUAACAUAUACUUACGUUCCUGUUUUCUAGAUUCCAUUUCACAGAGUGGAUGCAACUGGGUGAGAGUCGAACAUACCGUGCGUUGCUCAGUUGAAAGUAAACACAUUGGCUGCCACUAUUAUAGAAGAGAAACUUGUGGGGCAACGCUAAUCUUCUGCAUAAAUUUCCCCAACCUGUGUUGAAGCAAAACCCAGAAAUCAUUACAUCUGUAAUAUUCUAUGGAAGAAUCUGACACCCACGCCUUUCUCUUCCGUGUGGACCCUGAAGAGUCUACUCACGAUCACACCAGAAUGACUUCCCAAGUUAAGAACAACUUGGAAUAAGCUUUACUGAAAAUGAACUGGCUACUGAUCUCUCACGGUAUAUUUAAAAUUCUCUUUUUGAAUCUUGAAUCUCUUCAAGGUCGGGUACUGAUGUUCCUUCAGGAAUAAAACAAAAGGGGGAAAACCUUCAAAGUAUUACUCUGAAUUUCCUGUGUAAUGUCCUUCCAAGCACUGUUUCUGACCAUGUCUCAUGUGGUAUUCCAAAAGAGCAUCAGUUAAACUGCGUAUCUAAGUCAGGAAACUGUUUUUAAGCUGGUUUAGAUUCCAAAUGUAUACAAAUGAAGUCACUUUAAUCCUAUAAAUACUUCUUAAUUUAUUUUUAAAAAAUUGUGCUGUUUACCCUUUUACGGGGCAACAAGCUAUGUGAAAAGUACAAAACUUUUUGUCAAAUGUAAUAUUGAGAGUGCUUUUGACAUAGUUCACUGGUUUAUCAUCUGGAUCAGUAUAUACUGCGCAACGGGCAAGGCUAGAAUCCAUGAACCAAGCUGCAAAGAUCUCAAGCUAAAUAAGGCGGAAAGAUUUGGAGAAACAAAAGAAGGAAAUUCUUUCCUAUCCAAUGUGUACUCUUCAGACUAAUGCACUCUUUCUAUCAAGCCUUCUAAACUGUUAAAUAAAGUUUUCCAAACAAGCAUUUAAACUUCAUUACACAGAAGAGCAACAAGAAUGGUAUCCCGCCAGACAAAAGGCAGGAGGGAAAAAAAUAUAUAUACUGAGUUCAAUGGGUAAGCCUGAAUGUAGCACAGUUCUUCACAACCGAUGGGGGUAAUUCAACAUGGUGUCCAACAACGUUCUAACGACGUGCUUCAUCUCAACUGGUUACUAUGAAGCAAGGUGUAAAUGUUUGGCCCCAAUCGGGCUUCAGAAAUGGUUCUUUUUUCAUGACGAGCAUGUCUGUCCAGCUAUCAAUCAUGUUUGUUUGCACCAAAUCCCAAGCCAUUAAAAUACGACUAAUUUUAAGUUAAACAGAAGUCGUCUGCUCCAAAUUCGCCAUCAACUAUCCAUGCUACUGCAUUCCUCUGAAUGAAGACAAGAUGAAAUGUUUUGGGGGCAGGGAGAGAAGAGGAGAGGGAGAGAAAAAAAGUUACCAGUUAGAAAGUUUCAAAAUCAUCAUCAUGACAUUACAAAAUACAGUGACAUUAAAAAGUAGUCACAUCACAGCAAACUAUUGAUGCUUUCAUCAUCAUAAUCAUUAAAACAAUGUGUUUGCAUCAUGUUUUAGGCUAAAUAUUACAGUCUAAACUCAUGAUUAUUUUGAAUACUGGAGAAACCCAAGUGAACAAUCGUGUUAGAAAUAUCAUACUUUUAAAAUUAACCUUGAAAUAGUUACACAGAGUAGAAAAAUCUUCAUGAUAGCUCAUAAUAGAAAAGAAGAAAGAAAGAUCUGGCAGUCUAAGGUAGAACUAUGCAUCAUAACUACAUAGCUAAUACCUCUCUUUUAAGUUGCUUACAGUUUGGAAGUCACCUCACUCCAUUCUGGGGGGUGUGGAGCAGCUGGAGAUGUAAUUCACACACUAUACAGUGCACCUCUUUAAAAGUAUUCACAGGAAGGUGCAACCACCAACAAUCCAUUUUAGAACAUUUUUACCAUCCAAUUAGUAAUCACACAUCCCCUUCAACCACCCCCAAGAAACCACUGUAUUUACUUUCUACGGAUCUGUCUAUUCGAGACCAAUUUAUAUGAACGGAAUCACAACACGUGGCCUUUUGCAUCUGGCUUGUCACUCACCCACACUGUAGCAGGUGUAUCAGUACUGCACCCUGCCCCAUUUUAUAUAGCCCUCAACCCCCCCCCCAAACCCAAACCAGCCUAUAACUCUACUGUUAUAAAAAAAAAAAGGUCAGCAAAUUCUCUCUUUUGAAAUGGAGUUGUCAAGUGAAAUAUUUAUUAUAGUAUCUUAUGGUGUUACAAUUUUUAAAUGUUGUUUUCUUUAGCUUCAUCUAUAUUUUUCAAAUGUUCUAUUCCAAACAGGUAUUGCUUUAAUUAGAAAGAAAUGUGUGUGAGGAGGAGGAGGAAAGACCCCAAAAGGUAUGUGCAAAAAAGUCACAUCACCAAGUAUUUGGUUAUAUAAAAGUUGUUUUUCUAUUUCAGGUGAAAAUGAAUUUUUUAGGGGUGUCCCCAUGCUGGCAAAGCACCAAGUGCUGAACUGGACCCAGAUCUUACAACUGUGCGGAAACCUGGCCCACCCGCCACAGUGAGCACCCACACUGCUCAGAGCAGCGUGGCUCCUCCCCGUGCCACGGCAGGGCCACAGCAUCUCCUCCUGCGGGGUGAAUCUGUCGCCGUACACCUCGCAUUUCCCUACUUUUUCAAAUUAAACGUUUAUUUGAAGAAAUACUUUCCAAAUAACUGAUAACAUCAGAAAAUCACCGUCACCGUUAUAAAUCUAUAAAGACUUUAUCUUAGAGGAGUCCUUGAAAAACUCAAAACAGGACAACAAAAGAGCGUAUGGAUUUCUGGUCUUAGUUAAUGUCCCAGAGGAAUGGUAGAAUGUCACAUAGUAUCUGCAAACACAAAAAGGCCCUGCCAGGUGCCGAGCAGCUGAACGGCAGUUCUUAAACAUCUGGACCCUCACACUCUCCAUGCUUUGUGCUCUCAUCUCUGGCUGCAUAGCCUCACCUGCCUGUGAGAAAUGGUCAAGCCUCCUACAGUUUGUACCACAAAGACAAAAACAAAGCAUAGAGAAUGUACUUUUUCAAACCAUACAGGCUACCCUGACAACCCUCCUCCACUGAGACUCACUUCCCAGAGAGCAGUUAGUCAUCUUUUCUUAAUAAAACAUUUAGGUGGGACAUGCUGAACAAAAAAAAUCUGUUUAUCUGUUUCUAGGUAAAUUACUUCCUUCUAAGCAAACUAAACAUUUGACUUGCUCCACCUGACAAAAGAGAAAAAGAGAAGAGGCAGAUUAGCCGCGUUUCCCUCCUGAACUGAAGAGGUCUCCAAGGAGAAAGAUCGCAGCGUUCAAGUGUGGCUCAACUCAAACGUUCCUAUGUUCGAAGGAAAAUGCUUUUGUGAAGACACAAUGCAAGCAGGAUUCCAGCUGCAGAGGCAGCGAAAACAGGAUUCGAUGGAAUCGAGGCCAGAAUGACGGGCUUUAUGACCGAGCGCUGCUUGCUCUGUCAGUCUGGGAAACCCGCUGCUUUUGCAAGCGUAAAACCUACGUCCAGUUUUUCCAUAUGUUGCUAGCACAGUGAAAAAGCUUGAGUGUGGCACAACGUUUUGGGGAAAAGGUUUCCUAAUGGCUCUAUUUUAUACUGGCAUUUUAUACAUGAAUAUUUGGAGCUGUGGAGGGUCCCUGCAAGGAAGUGGCAAAUGGGUUACUGUAGCCACCUUGGGAGACAGCGUAUUCACUGCAUCUGACUGGCUUCAAAGCAUUUUCAGAGCCAUUGUAAAGCCCUUGAGUCAUGAGAAAACUAAUCUCUUUACUUCGUAAUUGUGUCAUUUUUAGCUCUAAACAGAAUAAAAUGUGGUUUAAUUACAUGAUUCAUCAGGCUUGGUUCUAAGUUAGUUUGGGAUUUAAAAAAAGUGUGUCAUCAAUAGAGAUAAUGGUAGCUGUGCAUGCUUUUGAGCACCUCUAGGAUCCGUAUUUUCAGAGAGAGCUAUGGGGGAUUCUGCAACACAACCAAGAGAAAAAAAAAAACUAGCAGAAGCAAGACUGAAUAGACCAUGGGGGAAGAGAUCUUAAGAACAGGAGGAACUAUAAAGCAAAUAGAAGCAGAAGGCUUUAACAUAUUCAGACCAUCAAAAAAGUCAAUUAGAAACCAAUGGAGAAUUUGUAAGACUAUAACAUGGUUAAACAGGUAACAAAUAAUUUGGAAAAAAGUGACUAACGAACCACUCCUCUCUCCUCUCAAUCUUGUCUGACACUGAUUUUUUGGGUAAAGAAAGAAUAGAGAAAUUCAUAUGCUUGAUGUUUAAAAUCUAAAUCCCUAAAUAACCCCCUUUUUCCAAUCCUUAAAUAUACAUUAUUCUUAAAGGAAAAAUUCGUGUUACUUUAUGAUCCUCUUAUCUAUUGAAAUCAGUUUUUGGUCAAGAUAGGGACAUCUACAAUAAAUGGAACAUAACCAAAAGUGUUUACCAA